rnacentral:lncRNA from 1 species
UCCGUGAGAGUAGAGAUGGUGUCAACAAAACUAUGGUCAGCUUUCAAUGUAUGGCCGGUUCUAGAUUAAAGCACUUAUAACCUGAACUCACUGGCUCAGCUAGGCCCUUAUAAUGCAGGAAGAUAGGAAGACACUGUUCUCUUAUUAGAAGGUAAGCAUUCAGCCCUACUGGAUAGAGAGUUACUUUUGCUUCCUCCAGGGUGAGCCUGAGCCAGUUUCUCCACUUUUCUCUCUGGCUGUCCUCUGCACAGGAGAGACUUAGUAAGGAGAGUUAAUCAUCCAGAUGUCUUUUGCAUCUGUUGUUUAUGUGCCUCUCACGCAACCCUGUGCUGUACUAUGAUGGUAGGAUUAUUUCUCUGUGAUAGGUUAGUUAACAGAGAUUCCAAAGACAUAAAGAAUAUUUCCAGAGUCCCACAAAGCUAGGAAAUGGCUUUUGGUACCUCCAACCUCAGACACAGAUCUAGGUUUUUGUCCAUGAGAAUGCAAAAAUACAGAAGGAGCAAGGAGAGGCAAGAGGAAAAUAAAAGAAAGAGAAUAGAGCAAAGGCUGGAAGGUUUCUUGGUUUUGUUUUUGGAGGUUGUUUGUUGUUUGUUUGUUUGUUUGUUUGUUUGUUUGUUUGUUUUC